rnacentral:rRNA from 1 species
UACGUAGGCAGCAAGCGUUGUUCGGAGUUACUGGGCGUAAAGGGUGUGUAGGCGGUUGGAUGAAGUGUGGUGUGAAAUCUCCCGGCUUAACUGGGAGGGUGCGCUACAAACUGUCUGACUAGAGUAUGGGAUGGGAGAGUGGAAUUCCUGGUGUAGCGGUGAAAUGCGUAGAUAUCAGGAGGAACACCGGUGGUGUAGACGGCUCUCUGGACCAUUACUGACGCUGAGACACGAAAGCGUGGGUAGCAAACAGG